UACGGAGGGUGCAAGCGUUAUCCGGAUUCACUGGGUUUAAAGGGUGCGUAGGUGGUAAUGUAAGUCAGUGGUGAAAUCUCCGUGCUUAACACGGAAACUGCCAUUGAUACUAUGUUUCUUGAAUUUUCUGGAGGUUAGCGGAAUAUGUCAUGUAGCGGUGAAAUGCUUAGAUAUGACAUAGAACACCAAUUGCGAAGGCAGCUAACUACAGGGAUAUUGACACUGAGGCACGAAAGCGUGGGGAUCAAACAGG
rnacentral:rRNA from 1 species